rnacentral:lncRNA from 1 species
AAAUCCCGUAACUAGUACGGUUGCGUACUCGAUCAAAUUGACUUUUAAAAUAUUCAUUUAAGGUAGAAAAUACAUAAAAGAAAAGUAAACACGCAAGAGGCUCGAGGCAGUCUCUACUAACAAAAGGAAAAUAAACUAAGGCUAAAAUAAGUAUGAGUUUCACUUUAGGCUUCCAAAUACAAAUACUUCGGAACAUUCCCAAAAAUAAAAUAUACAUAAGUCAUUCGGGGCAUUCUCCGAAUAAAUUUAACUAAGAAAAGACCUCUCGCCUCGAACAUGGGAUUAACCUUCCAAUGAACAAAUUUAUCGAUUGCGGCACUGAAUCGAGCAAGAUCAGGCCAAUCUGGAAUAUAGAAAAUUCAAAUAGAUCUUCGAGCAAGGACAAUGAACCACGACCGAAAACACGAACAGCAACUUCACAAAAUCGAACACCCUUCUUGGCUUUCACUCCAUUUCGAACAAAAUUCAGAAGAAGAGACUGAUUUUUCUUCUUCUUUUUUUUUCUGUGUAUUUUCUGUAAAAGCGAAAAAUGAAAAUGAAAAACCAAGAAUCAUAAGAAAAGCUCCAAGAACCUAAAGAAAACCUCUUCUUGAUUUUUCCUCUCCCUUCUCUGUCCGAAAUCCUCCUAUAUAUAUAGAAGCUAGAACCUUCUUCUUGUUCUCCAAGAAAUCUCGGGUGGAGACCUCAACAACAAAUCCGAAAAUCCCUUUUCACAAAUAAAAAUCGGAAAAAUGGAGAUAUUUGGACAAAAAUUUCAUCUAACGAUUCCCAUUCUUCCCAAGUUUACUCAAGGGUUUGGAUUUUGUGUUUAAACAAAAGAAAUAGAAGAGAAAAAUCCGCGAAAAUCAGAUUGGAAUGAUGAGAUUUGUUCAGAAUAAAUGACGUGGAAGAAGGAUAGAAGAGAGGGGGGACCAUGGGGGACCAGUGAAUGAACACGUCGCCGUAUUAUGUCUUUUCCGGCGACUUUGGCGGCGGACAGAGGGCUGGUGCGGCUGGGUGAAUUUUUGUAGGGUUAGGAUUAGUGUAAAAUGUUAUAAGGAUUAUUUUAUAUGGCUUAAAUAAUUAAUUAUAGCCAUUGGAUAGGGAGUAGAUGAAGUGCUAGGAUUAAACUAGAGAGGGAGAUGGGUCAGAUGGGUUAUGGAAUUGGGCCACCGAAUUCGGGCCAUGUCUUGGACGAAAUUGGGCCAGAAUUUUGGGAUUUCAACUCUUUUAAUCCAAUAAGACACUUAAACUUUUAACAUUUUUAAACAAAAUAAAUUAAAAUAUACUUUUAAAUAUUAAUUCUAAUUUAUUAAAGUAAACUAUAUGAAACUAUAUAUUUUAUAUAAAUUAUCAUACUCAAACUAAAAGUGAAAAUCAUGGUAAAAACUAAAAUAAAUAGC